UGACAGGUGGUGCAUGGUUUGUCGUCAGCUCGUGUCGUGAGAUGUUGGGUUAAGUCCCGCAACGAGCGCAACCCUCGCCUCUAGUUGCCAGCAUUCGGUUGGGCACUCUAGAGGGACUGCCGGCGACAAGUCGGAGGAAGGUGGGGAUGACGUCAAAUCAUCAUGCCCCUUAUGACCUGGGCUACACACGUGCUACAAUGGGCGGUACAAAGGGCUGCGAACCCGCGAGGGGGAGCGAAUCCCAAAAAGCCGCUCUCAGUUCGGAUUGCAGGCUGCAACUCGCCUGCAUGAAGCCGGAAUCGCUAGUAAUCGCGGAUCAGCAUGCCGCGGUGAAUACGUUCCCCGGGGCCUU
rnacentral:rRNA from 1 species